CACAGGAAUCCUUUGUUCACACAU
rnacentral:miRNA from 1 species